rnacentral:rRNA from 1 species
AGCGAACGCUGGCGGCAGGCUUAACACAUGCAAGUCGAGCGGGCAUCUUCGGGUGUCAGCGGCGGACGGGUGAGUAACGCGUGGGAACGUGCCUUCUGGUUCGGAAUAACUCAGGGAAACUUGAGCUAAUACCGGAUACGCCCUUUUGGGGAAAGGUUUACUGCCGGAAGAUCGGCCCGCGUCUGAUUAGCUAGUUGGUGGGGUAACGGCCUACCAAGGCGACGAUCAGUAGCUGGUCUGAGAGGAUGAUCAGCCACACUGGGACUGAGACACGGCCCAGACUCCUACGGGAGGCAGCAGUGGGGAGUAUUGGACAAUGGGGGCAACCCUGAUCCAGCCAUGCCGCGUGAGUGAUGAAGGCCUUAGGGUUGUAAAGCUCUUUUAUCCGGGACGAUAAUGACGGUACCGGAGGAAUAAGCCCCGGCUAACUUCGUGCCGGCAGCCGCCGUAAAAC